rnacentral:rRNA from 1 species
AGAGUUUGAUCCUGGCUCAGGAUGAACGCUGGCGGUCGGCCUAACACAUGCAAGUCGAACGAAGUCUUCGGACUUAGUGGCGGACGGGUGAGUAACACGUGAGAACCUGCCCUCUGGAGGGGGACAACCGCUGGAAACGGCGGCUAAUACCCCGUAUGCCCUCGGGUGAAAGCUUUUGCGCCAGAGGAGGGGCUCGCGGUCGAUUAGCUAGUUGGUGAGGUAACGGCUCACCAAGGCAGCGAUCGAUAGCUGGUCUGAGAGGACGAGCAGCCACACUGGGACUGAGACACGGCCCAGACUCCUACGGGAGGCAGCAGUGGGGAAUUUUCCGCAAUGGGCGCAAGCCUGACGGAGCCAGACCGCGUGCGGGAAGACGGCCCUUGGGUUGUAAACCGCUUUUCUCAGGGAAGAAGUCAGUGACGGUACCUGAGGAAUCAGCCUCGGCUAACUCCGUGCCAGCAGCCGCGGUAAUACGGAGGAGGCAAGCGUUAUCCGGAAUUAUUGGGCGUAAAGCGUUCGCAGGCGGCCUGACAAGUCUGCUGUCAAAGCCCGCGGCUCAACCGCGGACCGGCAGUGGAAACUGCCAGGCUAGAGUGCGGUAGGGGUAGGGGGAAUUCCCAGUGUAGCGGUGAAAUGCGUAGAUAUUGGGAAGAACACCAGUGGCGAAAGCGCCCUACUGGACCGCAACUGACGCUCAGGGACGAAAGCUAGGGUAGCGAAAGGGAUUAGAUACCCCUGUAGUCCUAGCCGAAACGAUGA